rnacentral:rRNA from 1 species
AUGGAUAGACAUUGGAUUCAUCGUACAUUGUUUUCCCGUGAGUACAUCGAAGGUGUCAAAGAAUUUAUGAACUUCAUUCAAGCUAAAUUCAGCGAGGAUGAGAAAAUACUCUGCCCAUGUAGAAAUUGCCUUAAUCAUGAACACCAGCAUCAGACCGUUGUGAACAUACACAUAUUGACGUAUGGCAUGGAAAGUACAUACACUCGCUGGAUAUAUAAUGGAGAAGACUUUGAUGUUGAUGUGAUUGAAGAACCUGUUCAUGUGCAUGACACUGCCGAUGGUAACAAUGGUGCUGAUCGAUUUGAGGAGAUGUUUGGAGACCUACACACAACAGUAGAACAAGCUGAAAGUGAAACUGAAAAUCCUUCUGAGCAUGAGUCGUUUUUGAAGAACGUGCUGAAAGAGGCAAAGCAGCAACUUUAUCAUGGUUGUACCAAGUUUUCGAGGUUCUCCUUUGUGGUAAAGCUUCUUCAUUUGAAGUCAUACCAUAGGAUCACAAAUAGUGCAUUUACUGAUAUAUUGAAGAUAUUGGCUGAAGCAUUCCCUGAACCUAAUACACUCCCAAAAUCAUACGAGGAAGCAAAGAACCUUCUGAAGGAAUUAGGCCUUGGGUAUGUUUCUAUACAUGUGUGCUUUAAUAAUUGCAUUUUGUUCAGGAAGCAAUAUGCCAAUCAUGACAACUGCCCAGUUUGUGGCCUAUCAAGGUAG